GUGGGGAACCUGCCCCUAAGUCUGGGAUACCAUUUGGAAACAGGUGCUAAUACCGGAUAAUAAAGCAGAUCGCAUGAUCAGCUUUUGAAAGGCGGCGUAAGCUGUCGCUAAGGGAUGGCCCCGCGGUGCAUUAGCUAGUUGGUAAGGUAACGGCUUACCAAGGCGACGAUGCAUAGCCGAGUUGAGAGACUGAUCGGCCACAUUGGGACUGAGACACGGCCCAAACUCCUACGGGAGGCAGCAGUAGGGAAUCUUCCACAAUGGACGCAAGUCUGAUGGAGCAACGCCGCGUGAGUGAAGAAGGUUUUCGGAUCGUAAAGCUCUGUUGUCGGUGAAGAAGGAUAGAGGUAGUAACUGGCCCUUAUUUGACGGUAAUCAACCAGAAAGUCACGGCUAACUACGUGCCAGCAGCCGCGGUAAUACGUAGGUGGCAAGCGUUGUCCGGAUUUAUUGGGCGUAAAGCGAGCGCAGGCGGAAAAAUAAGUCUAAUGUGAAAGCCCUCGGCUUAACCGAGGAACUGCAUCGGAAACUGUUUUUCUUGAGUGCAGAAGAGGAGAGUGGGAACUCCAUGUGUAGCGGUGGGAUGCGUAGAUAUAUGGAAGAACACCAGUGGCGAAGGCGGCUCUCUGGUCUGCAACUGACGCUGAGGCUCGAAAGCAU
rnacentral:rRNA from 1 species